rnacentral:rRNA from 1 species
UACGGAGGGGGCAAGCGUUAUUCGGAAUUAUUGGGCGUAAAGGGCGCGUAGGCGGCUAGAUGUGUCAAAGGUGAAAUCCCUCGGCUCAACUGAGGAACUGCCUUUGAAACUGUCUGGCUUGAGGCCGGGAGAGGGUAGCGGAAUUCCCAGUGUAGCGGUGAAAUGCGUAGAUAUCUGGAGGAAUACCGGUGGCGAAGGCGGCAUCCUGGACCGAGAUUGACGCUGAUGAGCGAAAGCUAGGGGAGCAAACGGG